ACAGGGCCUAUUUCAAGUGGGCCUUUUCAAGACAAGAAAGAGUUUUACAGCUACACUGCCAGUCAGCCCCUUGCAAUUUCCUAGUUGCCCCAGCACAAUCAAAAGAAGAGAGUUUUAGCAGAAGAAAUGUGUGGAGAUCAAAAAAACUCAGUGUGGAAUUUACCUGGAAAGGGAAGGACCUCAUGAUGCUCACUAUGAGAAGGAAAGAGCUAGCAUCAAACACAGGUUUAGAUGGAAAGUUAAAGGAAAAGCUAUCAGUUUGUUUCUAAAAGAGAUCUUUGAGAUAAACUGGAAAGGUCAUUUAUGUUUUCUAAAAAUGUAAAUACAGUAUGUUCU